rnacentral:snoRNA from 1 species
UCAAGAUGAGGAAUUAUUGCACUGGGCACUGAUUUAUGGAAUGAGUGACAACGCAUUUUUAUGGUGGGCCUCAGAAACCCAUCGUUACUGAUUUA